ensembl:lincRNA
CUGAAAAUCUUGUUUUUAUAGUUAUUCAAUAUCUUGUUGUUAGACAUGAGAAAUAUAAAUUUUUUGUGGUCAUCAAUUUUAUCUCUCCUGUCUAUCAAUUUACUGGUCAGUGCUCCCUGAGAACUGUCCAGGUCUGUAUCUCAGAUUGUUGCUUAAUGACACCUGACAGAAACACUGUUUCCAGAAAUCAGUUAAAGACACAAAUUGUCACAGCCCAGGCAGGGAGCUCAUUACCUGCCACAUAAGAUCAAUUAUGGAAGUCAGAGAAACGGUGGGUGGGGUUACCCAACCAGUUAGUGGAAAUCAGCUCACACCUGCUUCAAACUUCAGCUAGGAGGAAAGCAAACCUGUUUGUAAAAGAACAUUAGCUGUUAUUAUAGAAGUGAAAACAUCGUGUUCUCCACUGCUGUUAGUGCAUUGCCAGUUUCUAGAUCCCAAACCUGUUUGUCUUAAAAAACAAAUUCAUAGCUAACAAUGCAGCAAUUCUUCCUUUUGCACCCCCUUCAUCUCUAUCUGGUUAAUAUUUUAGGAAGAAAAAUAAGAGAAUUCUAACGUUUUUGUUUGUCUCGUUUGAUUGUAGGUGAGCUUUGAAAUUAAUCCUACCAUUUAGGAAACAAUUUAAUAGCAUUUUACUUUGCAUAACCUCAAAGUCCCCUGUCUCCCCAGUUGUGCUAAGGCAUGGUUACUACCUGAAGAUCCAUGUUAACCUUUAAGAAGGGCAUUCAUCGGAGCCUGACUGCACACGACCUCCUGGGCAAACCCUGGAAAGUGUUCUGUGUGAUCUUCGGAUGCUGAGGCCCUCAUGGCACCAACUGAACGGGAUCACCCAGCUUCAUGAUCAUUCUGUGAUGUCCAUGGCAAUAGGAAAUGCGUGACAGGGGAGCUGAAGCCCCAGAGACCCUACCUUGUACUUUACAAAGCUCCACUUUCUCAGCUCAGCGGUCUAACCCACAAGCCGCGUGGAGGGCCUCGUGGGAUGGGAAUACAGUGACCAGCAGUUACACAAGAUCCACUGCCUACCUUAGGAAGAAAUACGGUUCAAGGGAAGGAGAAAGAUCGUCCACCUGUAAAUGGGGGAGCACACGUGGGACCAGAAAUAUUGCUGCAUCCUCAAUGGGAAAAUGCUUCUGCAACACGGUUGAGAGUUGUCAAUAUUAUCUUCAUUUUGCCAUCAACCUGCCACGUUUCAGGGAAUUUUCUACUUGUUCGGAUUGGCAAUUUUCCACCUUCUCUUUUUCUCAAAUAUAGGUUGCAGAAUUCGAGUCACAGAUAGCGUGAGGGCAAACAACGCGGGCACAGUGGACUUCAGAGAAGCAUUAAUGAAACUUUAAAUUGCACGUGGCCUCAGGAUAUCCCACACAGUGUCUGUGGCAAUAUGCAAAUUUGUGGUAUAUGAAAUUAGGAGUGUCUUAUUUCAAACUCCAAAUUGGCCUUCAGGAAAUUGCUUCUGAAGUUACUGUAUUAGUUUGCUAGGGCUGCUAUAGAAAAAUAAAACAACUAGGUGACCUGAACAGCAGAAAUUUAUUUUCUUACAAUUCUGGGGGCUGGAAGUCCAAUAUCAAGGUGUUAGCAGGGUCAGGUGCUAGCAGGGUUAGAUCAAG